rnacentral:rRNA from 1 species
GACGAACGCUGGCGGCGUGCUUAACACAUGCAAGUCGAACGGAAAGGCCCCUUUGGGGGUCCUCGAGUGGCGAACGGGUGCGUAACACGUGAGUAACCUGCCCUUGCCUUCUGGAUAACUUCAGGAAACUGGGGCUAAUACCGGAUAGGAAUCCUUGCUGCAUGGUGGGGGUUGGAAAGCUUCGGCGGUUUUGGAUGGACUCACGGCUUAUCAGCUUGUUGGUGGGGUAGUGGCUUACCAAGGCUUUGACGGGUAGCCGGCCUGAGAGGGCGACCGGCCACAUUGGGACUGAGAUACGGCCCAGACUCCUACGGGAGGCAGAAGGGGGGAAUAUUGAACAAGGGGCGGAAGCCGGAUGCAGAAACGCCGCGUGCGGGAUGACGGCCUUCGGGUUGUAAACCGCGUUCAGCAGGGGCGAAGCUUGUGGUGACGGUACCUGCAGAAGAAGCACCGGCUAACUACGUG